GGAGAUGUAGCUCAACUGAAUAGAGCAUCUCACUUCUAAUGAGAUAGGUAUAGGUUUGAAUCCUGUCAUCUUCA
rnacentral:tRNA from 1 species